CCUACGGGGGGCAGCAGUGGGGAAUAUUGCACAAUGGGGGAAACCCUGAUGCAGCGACGCCGCGUGAAGGAAGAAGUAUUUCGGUAUGUAAACUUCUAUUAGCAGGGAAGAAAAUGACGGUACCUGACUAAGAAUCCCCGGCUAACUACGUGCCAGCAGCCGCGGGAAUACGUAGGGGGCAAGCGUUAUCCGGAUUUACUGGGUGUAAAGGGAGCGUAGGCGGUUUAGCAAGUCAGAAGUGAAAGCCCGGGGGUCAACUCCGGGACUGCUUUUGAAACUGUUGAACUAGAUUGCAGGAGAGGUGAGUGGAAUUCCUGGGGUAGCGGUGAAAUGCGUAGAUAUUAGGAGGAACACCAGUGGCGAAGGCGGCUUACUGGACUGUAAAUGACGCUGAGGCUCGAAAGCGUGGGGAGCAAACAGGAUUAGAUACCCGAGUAGUC
rnacentral:rRNA from 1 species